rnacentral:sRNA from 1 species
GAGCGUCGAGCUACCAGAACCGAGCUGGUGAGGGGCUGCAGGUGGCGGCGCAGUCUCGGUAGGCGGUAUGAGUUUGGCUGGGGGCCGGGCACCCCGGAAGACCGCUGGGAACCGGCUUUCUGGGCUUUUGGAGGCAGAGGAGGAAGAUGAGUUCUACCAGACGACUUAUGGGGGUUUCACAGAGGAAUCCGGAGAUGAUGAGUAUCAAGGGGACCAGUCAGACACAGAGGACGAAGUGGACUCUGACUUUGACAUUGAUGAAGGGGAUGAACCAUCCAGUGAUGGAGAAGCAGAAGAGCCAAGAAGGAAGCGCCGAGUAGUCACCAAGGCCUAUAAGGAACCUCUCAAGAGCUUAAGGCCUCGAAAGGUCAACACCCCGGCUGGUAGCUCUCAGAAGGCCCGAGAAGAGAAGGCACUACUGCCAUUAGAACUACAAGAUGACGGCUCUGACAGUCGGAAGUCUAUGCGUCAGUCUACAGCUGAGCAUACACGACAAACGUUCCUUCGGGUACAGGAGAGGCAGGGCCAGUCAAGACGGCGAAAGGGGCCCCACUGUGAGCGGCCACUAACCCAGGAGGAACUGCUCCGGGAGGCCAAGAUCACAGAAGAGCUUAAUUUACGUUCACUGGAGACAUAUGAGCGGCUCGAGGCUGAUAAAAAGAAGCAGGUUCAUAAGAAGCGGAAGUGCCCUGGGCCCAUAAUCACCUAUCAUUCAGUGACAGUGCCACUUGUUGGGGAGCCAGGCCCCAAGGAAGAGAACGUUGACAUAGAAGGACUUGAUCCUGCUCCCUCAGCGUCUGCAUUGACUCCUCAUGCUGGGACUGGACCCGUCAACCCCCCUGCUCGCUGCUCACGUACCUUCAUCACUUUUAGUGAUGAUGCAACUUUCGAGGAAUGGUUCCCCCAAGGGCGGCCCCCAAAAGUCCCUGUUCGUGAGGUUUGUCCAGUGACCCAUCGUCCAGCCCUAUACCGGGACCCUGUUACAGACAUACCCUAUGCCACUGCUCGAGCCUUCAAGAUCAUUCGUGAGGCUUACAAGAAGUACAUUACUGCCCAUGGACUGCCGCCCACUGCCUCAGCCCUGGGCCCUGGCCCGCCACCUCCUGAGCCCCUCCCUGGCUCUGGGCCCCGAGCCUUGCGCCAGAAAAUUGUCAUUAAAUGAAGAGAUGUCUAGUCCUCAGAAACUUCUUUCCUGCCCUGAUUGGGGCUCUUGCUGUUCCGUUUCUUCUCCCUGCUUCUCCCCUUUGUCACCUCUGAUCUUUGCCUAAUCUGUUUCUUUUUCCUUUUCCCCUAGUUCUUACAGGUUUCGUUGUGUUUUUUAAUCUAAUAAAAUAGAAAGAUCCCUUUUGUCUGGUGUCCAGUCUAGGGUUGGGAGCAAGAAGUAUUUGAAUACCUGCAUAUAUUUGGGUCUUUAUUCGAUAGCAUUUAUUAUGAGCUGUCCUUUCUAAAUUGUAUUCAUUCCUCCAACUAAAUUAUAAACAUCUGAAAAUUGCACACCAAAACACAUCCUUGUAUUGACCUUCCUAUCACUUUACACUCACUGUUUUGAAUACAGCAGGCACCAAAUAAGGAGGAACUGGCUGAUUCUAGUCGAACUCCGAUGUCUCAGACUGGGGCUUGUAUGAAGGGAAGUGGAAGAGAUGCCAUGGCUGUUAAUGACCACUAGAGGCUCUCAGGGCUGGGCAGGGUAUGGGGGCUGUGUAUAUGUGAUCUCCCACUACCCCCCACCUGGCCAGAGCUAAAAUAAUAAAAUGCUGAGCUCACUGUUCCCCCACCCUCUCCCCCGGCACCGGGCUCCUCCUGCUGCUGAGACAGUGCUCUAGUAGAACAGACAGACCUACUGACACAGGGGAGGUGAGAAGGGAGGUGACCACCAGGACUGGUAGGUGGGGAAGACAGGGGGCUUAUGGAUGAGAGCCCGGUGGGAGAUGGGAGGAGAAGAGUGGCUCCUAUGGGGAAUGAUGUGGAGUGUGUCCCUGUCUCUGUCACUCAGUGUAUAUUUCUGCCACUGUGCCGUCCUACCCCUUAACUGUGUAUAGUUUACAUUGUCAAUGUGAGUGUCUCACAUACUUUCUGGAUCUUUCAUAUUCAGCAUGGUGUGUAUGCAUAGCUCCUUGUGCGUAUCUUAUAUUGUACAAAAUUGUGCGAGUUUAAUAUUCCCACUGUUUUUAAAGAAACUUUACCCUAUUUACACCCAUUGGUCUGGUGUCACCUUCCUGUCCAAAGCAAGGGACAGAUUAUGGGGACUCAGUCCCUUCUCCAGAGGCCUUACUACCCUUCCCCCAACCUGGAAGUCCCCCAACUGCUCCGAGCCCUUGCUUUCCCUUAAGACUUCAAAUUUUAGCAAACACAGAAAGUGAAAUCUUGAUCCCCCACAAUAAAAGGGAAAUGAGGAUGGGGUAAGAGACUCUUCCCCUUACACCCCAUUGUCCUUGGUUUUUUUAUCCGGUUUAGGAAAAAGCCUGGAUUAUGAGGAGGAGAGGAGGAAUUUCCCUGAAGCUCUCUAUUCCCCCACCCCUCAUCCCCUUUCAAUAGGAACUGGGCAUAGGACCAGCUGUGUUGGCAGGGCUUCCAGCAGCUAUGUUAGGGCGAAGGCACUGACAAGUGAGGUUAUAGGGGAGGGGUGCUGCCAGGAUUUCUCUGUCAUACCGUGGGAAGACAAACCCAGCUUAGAUGUCUGGGAUCCCCAUCCAGAGUGGCUGGAAGCUGGGGAAGCAGAAAGGAGACUCUAGUUCUAACUCUAAACAACCUAAUCUUCCCCACUUCCCAUCUUCAACUAGAUUUCUAAUCUCCAAGAAAUCCAAUCCAAUGUUCUGCCCCCCUGGCUGGUCUCUUUGUGUCCCUGCUGUGUCCCUGUCCAUCUUACCAUUGUCCAUCCUUUUGUCCCAUGUUGCCCAGGCUCUGUGAGUACCACACAGUGGGGAGGGGGUGGGGGCCACCAUGUCAUCAUAUCAGAAGGAACUGGAGAAAUACAGAGACAUAGAUGAAGAUGAGAUCCUAAGGACCUUGAGCCCCGAGGAGCUAGAGCAGCUGGACUGCGAACUACAGGAGAUGGAUCCUGAGGUAGGGGCUCCAGCACAGGGAACCAGAGGCAGUCCCAGGCAUUUGGGAAGGGUGUUGGGCUCUGGGUGGCUGAGAAUAGGGUUUGCUACAGGACCUAGAGUCCUAAGAAGGCCAGGGGAAAGGUGUCUGGUGAUGUUUUAGGGAGCCCUAGCAGUACCUAGGUCAGAGGGGAGGUCUGACUUGCUCCCCAAAACUCAUCCCUAAGAACAUGCUCCUGCCAGCUGGACUAAGACAACGUGACCAGACAAAGAAGAGCCCAACGGGGCCACUGGACCGAGAGGCCCUUUUGCAGUACUUGGAGCAACAGGCACUAGAAGUCAAAGAGCGUGAUGACUUGGUGCCCUUCACAGGCGAGAAGAAGGGGAAACCCUAUAUUCAGCCCAAGAGGGAAAUCCCAGCAGAGGAGCAGAUCACCCUGGAGCCUGAGCUGGAGGAGGCACUGGCACAUGCCACAGAUGCUGAAAUGUGUGACAUUGCAGCAAUUCUGGACAUGUACACACUGAUGAGUAACAAGCAAUACUAUGAUGCCCUCUGCAGUGGAGAAAUCUGCAACACUGAAGGCAUUAGCAGUGUGGUACAGCCUGACAAGUAUAAGCCAGUGCCGGAUGAACCCCCAAAUCCCACAAACAUUGAGGAGAUACUAAAGAGGGUCCGAAGCAAUGACAAGGAGCUGGAGGAGGUGAACUUGAAUAAUAUACAGGACAUCCCAAUACCCAUGCUAAGUGAGCUGUGUGAGGCAAUGAAGGCAAAUACCUAUGUGCGGAGCUUCAGUCUGGUAGCCACGAGGAGUGGUGACCCCAUUGCCAAUGCAGUGGCUGACAUGUUGCGUGAGAAUCGUAGCCUCCAGAGCCUAAACAUCGAAUCCAACUUCAUUAGCAGCACAGGACUCAUGGCUGUGCUGAAGGCAGUUCGGGAAAAUGCCACACUCACUGAGCUCCGUGUAGACAAUCAGCGCCAGUGGCCUGGUGAUGCAGUGGAGAUGGAGAUGGCCACCGUGCUAGAGCAGUGUCCCUCUAUUGUCCGCUUUGGCUACCACUUUACGCAGCAGGGGCCACGAGCUCGGGCAGCCCAGGCCAUGACCCGAAACAAUGAACUACGUCGCCAGCAAAAGAAGAGAUAACACUGCAUUUCCCUUUACCAACUAGAGCUGGGAGCACUGGACACUUAAAUCCUCAUCUGUCCUCCUUUCCUGUAAAUAAAAGCCCUUCUAUCCA